CUUAUACCUUCAGAGUGAGUUUGAGGUGCCUGAGCUGCAACAUAUUCCCUGUUUGGUUUGUUUUUUCUCCAGAUCAUCACAUUGCCAGCAAAGACUUAAAAAUGGUCCAGAAAUCCGCAGUGAACAUCCACACAAUGACUUCAGGGGAGACAUUUGGCGCUGAUGAAGAACUGCUGAGGGAACUGAAGAAGAGGAUGCAGCUGAAUAUUAUACACUACCCGGAAAGCUGCAUCAUCAUUGUUUUUUGCCCUAUCAUCUCUCGUGUUGGGUCAGAUGUAGAAACAGCUAUGAGUCGGGUGACAGCACAAAAUCAAAAAGUUAUUCUGGUUAUGAUGCACCACACCCGAGACGAAAGCUACUCCACAGCUGGGAUAAUGUGGUCUGAAGUGUUUCCCAAUGUGAUCUUGGAUGUUCAUGUUCUCUUUCAUGAGACAAUGCAAGGAUUACUGAAGUGUGAUAACAACACGAGGGCUAUUGAUGAAAUGGUUCAAACAUUACUGUCCCAGAAUCGACAACUUGGAUACCCAGAUGUAGAAAGUCAGACACAGGCGUUACUUAGACACCCUACUGAACGUGUUUCAAAAUGUUUUCCUUAUUGGAAGAUUGUUAUUGGAUUUAUCGUGGUCGUGUUGAUUAUUUUACUGCUUGUCAUUUUUUUGGUGCCAGUUCACACAUAAUAAGCAAACAAAGAAAAACACAGAGGCUGAAAGGCAAAGAAGAAGCUACUAAAAUAAACCAUGCAUACAACCAUUCUGUGUUGAUUAAUUUGAAUUUGUAAAAUGCCUUGAGAUGACAUGCUGUAAAUUAAUGCUAAAAAAAAUAAACUGAUUUGAUA